UCAGAGGCGAUGAAGGGCGUGCUAAUCUGCGAUAAGCGCCGGUAAGGUGAUAUGAACCGUUAUAACCGGCGAUACCCGAAUGGGGAAACCCAGUGUGAUUCGUCACACUAUCAUUAACUGAAUCCAUAGGUUAAUGAGGCGAACCGGGGGAACUGAAACAUCUAAGUACCCCGAGGAAAAGAAAUCAACCGAGAUUCCCCCAGUAGCGGCGAGCGAACGGGGAGGAGCCCAGAGCCUGAAUCAGCAUGUGUGUUAGUGGAAGCGUCUGGAAAGGCGCGCGAUACAGGGUGACAGCCCCGUACACAAAAGCGCAUGUGCUGUGAGCUCGAUGAGUAGGGCGGGACACGUGGUAUCCUGUCUGAAUAUGGGGGGACCAUCCUCCAAGGCUAAAUACUCCUGACUGACCGAUAGUGAACCAGUACCGUGAGGGAAAGGCGAAAAGAACCCCGGCGAGGGGAGUGAAAAAGAACCUGAAACCGUGUACGUACAAGCAGUGGGAGCACAGGUUUACCUGUGUGACUGCGUACCUUUUGUAUAAUGGGUCAGCGACUUAUAUUCUGUAGCAAGGUUAACCGAAUAGGGGAGC
rnacentral:rRNA from 1 species